UGCAUAACCAAAGAUUGAUCAACACACCUACCUAGUGUUUACAUCUUCCACAAGAAAGAUGGCUAUUUCUAAAGUAAUGUGGGUGUUCUGCCUCCUAGCUUUACUGGCCUUCACUUCUUGUUCCUAUCAUGUACGAGCAGACGAUCAUGCCACCAAAGAGAAAAAUGAGGUGAUGGAGUAUUGCAAGAGGUACAUAUUCAAAAAUUACGGUGAUCAGCAUCCUGACCCCCAUAGGAAAUGUUGCCAAAUAGUAAGAGAAUCGAGAAACAUCCAUGCUAUAUGCCAGAAAUUCAUGCACGCGGAUUUGCAUAAGAUCAGUCUAGCCAAGUGGGCUCAUGUUACAUAUUGGUGCGGCAACGGAUUGCACCCAGGGACUAAUUGCGCAGGUUUCAUCGUUCCAGAUUAUAGUGCGCCACCACCUCCAGAACACUCAGCGUAAGGCUGGUCUGGUCAAAUAAGGAAAGGAGUGUUAUGAUAUGGAGCACUUAGUCUAAGGCAGUCUUAAUCCCCAAAAGAAAAUAAGGCAGUCUUAAUGAACAAAGGAAGAGUAUGGUAUUGAUCCUUUAUCAUGGGACCUCUGCAAUAAUGUAUCUUACUUUUAAUGUUGUGAUUAAUAAAAGGACUGCCUGCAUGUUUCUUUG